CAGCAGCCACGGUAAUACGGAGGAUCCAAGCGUUAUCCGGAAUCAUUGGGUUUAAAGGGUCCGUAGGCGGUCUUGUAAGUCAGUGGUGAAAGCCCAUCGCUCUACGGUGGAACGGCCAUUGAUACUGCAGGACUUGAAUUAUUGGGAAGUAACUAGAAUAUGUAGUGUAGCGGUGAAAUGCUUAGAGAUUACAUGGAAUACCAAUUGCGAAGGCAGGUUACUACCAAUUGAUUGACGCUGAUGGACGAAAGCGUGGGUAGCGAACAGGAUUAGAUACCCCUGUAGUCCCUGUCUCUUAUAC
rnacentral:rRNA from 1 species